rnacentral:rRNA from 1 species
UUAUUGAAACUUCGGUCGAUAUGAUUUAAUUCUAGUGGCGGACGGGUGAGUAUCGCGUGGGUAACCUGCCUUGUACAGGGGGAUAACAGUCAGAAAUGACUGCUAAUACCGCAUAAGCGCACAGAGCUGCAUGGCUCGGUGUGAAAAACUCCGGUGGUAUAAGAUGGACCCGCGUUGGAUUAGCUAGUUGGUGAGGUAACGGCCCACCAAGGCGACGAUCCAUAGCCGGCCUGAGAGGGUGAACGGCCACAUUGGGACUGAGACACGGCCCAGACUCCUACGGGAGGCAGCAGUGGGGAAUAUUGCACAAUGGGGGAAACCCUGAUGCAGCGACGCCGCGUGAAGGAAGAAGUAUCUCGGUAUGUAAACUUCUAUCAGCAGGGAAGAAUUAGGACGGUACCUGACUAAGAAGCCCCGGCUAACUACGUGCCAGCAGCCGCGGUAAUACGUAGGGGGCAAGCGUUAUCCGGAUUUACUGGGUGUAAAGGGAGCGUAGACGGAUGGACAAGUCUGAUGUGAAAGGCUGGGGCUCAACCCCGGGACUGCAUUGGAAACUGCCCGUCUUGAGUGCCGGAGAGGUUAGCGGAAUUCCUAGUGUAGCGGUGAAAUGCGUAGAUAUUAGGAGGUACACCAGUGGCGAA